AGGUUGCUGACUUUAUGGCCAGGCUGCCGUCCAAAGGAGGGGCUUUCAUCCGCAAAGUUUGCGAGAACGGCGGAAACCUUAAGGAACUUCUACCGUUCCUGCACACGCCCGACUACCUGGAGGAAUGGAAAAAGGCCAGCGGAAGCUGCGGUGUUAAGACGUCCUAGGCAUGCGACUUCAUUCAACGGCAGCCAACCGGGGCGUGUUCUCGAGCCCAGCCGUCUCGGGGAAACCGCUCUCUUGGGCACGUAUAGUUUGUAGCGCGCGGCAUUUCAGUUCCCGCGCGCCGGCUACGGAGAUGUUCGAGAAACAACUGUCCCAGCGAGUGAUUGUCGGCGCACGAGGAGCGUGGUUUCCCGCAAGGACGGCCCAGACACCAGCCCCGGAAUGCGGCUGGCCUGGCGAGACAUCGUCACCGACUACAAUUUCACCGCCUCGAGCGAUACAGCGUCGCGAAAAAAGAAAUAAUUGUAGUUAGCAUAG
rnacentral:lncRNA from 1 species